UGUUCUGCAGCUCACAGAAUUUUUUUUGUCACUUUAACUUCAGUGAUCUCCGGUGCCCCCGAAGGUGGUGCUGACUGUCUCCCCAGGAACAAUGCGGAGACCCUGGGAUUUUGUAUGUAGGGUCUGAGACACAGGCGGGAAUGUAGAGCAACAGAAGGAAGUUCUCUUAAGGUUGCUUCAUUCCAGACCCCUGGGAUGCCCCCACAAUUACACCAAAAUUCUGUUCUGGAAGAUCUGCCCACUCCAAUCAGAUUCCCAAGGCCAAGACAAACAAUAAAACGCAUGACCAUCACAACAAAAGGAGGUGGGAGGAUAAACUAUGGUGAGGUCAGCCCCCUAAAGAGUGAGCUUAUUGGCCGAGGCGGCCAACACGCCUGUAAUCCCAGAACUUUGGGAGGCCGAGGUG
rnacentral:lncRNA from 1 species